AAAGGUAAGCUACUAAGAGCGAAUGGUGGAUGCCUUGACUGGUAAAGGCGAUGAAGGACGUACUAGACUGCGAUAAGCUACGGGGAGCUGUCAAGAAGCUUUGAUCCGUAGAUUUCCGAAUGGGGCAACCCAAUGUAUAGAGAUAUACAUUACCUAUAUAGGAGCGAACGAGGGGAAUUGAAACAUCUUAGUACCCUCAGGAAAAGAAAUCAAUAGAGAUUGCGUCAGUAGCGGCGAGCGAAAGCGCAAGAGGGCAAACCCAGUGCUUGCACUGGGGGUUGUAGGACUGCAAUGUGCAAGAGGUAAGUUUAGCAGAACAUUCUGGAAAGUAUAGCCAUAGAGGGUGAUAGUCCCGUAUGCGAAAAACAAACCUUAGCUAGCAGUAUCCUGAGUAGGGCGGGACACGAGGAAUCCUGUCUGAAUCCGGGUCGACCACGAUCCAACCCUAAAUACUAAUACCAGAUCGAUAGUGCACAAGUACCGUGAGGGAAAGGUGAAAAGAACUGAGGUGAUCAGAGUGAAAUAGAACCUGAAACCAUUUGCUUACAAUCAUUCAGAGCCCUAUGUAGCAAUACAG
rnacentral:rRNA from 1 species